CUCCUCUGUGAACCCUGUAGGGAGAGGAUAAGAGAGGCCUGGGGAAGCACAGUUCUAUGUCACUGGACUAAGAAGGGGCUGUGUCACCAUGGCCUGGAGCCCUGUCCUCCUCUUGCUCCUCUGUCAUUGCACAGGUUCUCUGUCCCAGCCUGUGCUGACCCAGCCAACCUCCCUCUCUGGAUCUGUGGGAGCAACAGCCAGACUCACCUGCACCCUGAGCAGGGACAUAAGUGUCAGUGGGAAAAACAUGUACUGGUAUCAGCAGAAGCCUGGAAGCCCUCCCCGGUUUUUCCUGUACUACUACUCAGACUCAGACAAACAGCUAGGACCUGGGGUCCCCAGUCGAGUCUCUGGAUCCAAAGAUACCUCCACAAAUGCAGCAAUUUUGCUCAUCUCUGGGCUCCAGCCUGAGGACGAGGCUGAUUAUUACUGUCAGGUGUAUAACAGUGAUGCUCAGCACAGUGAUAGACACAGAUGA